rnacentral:siRNA from 1 species
UACCAGACCGAUAACGGUAUAUC